rnacentral:rRNA from 1 species
UGGGGAAUAUUGGACAAUGGGCGAAAGCCUGAUCCAGCAAUGCCGCGUGAGUGAUGAAGGCCUUAGGGUUGUAAAGCUCUUUCGCCUGCGACGAUGAUGACGGUAGCAGGAGAAGAAGCCCCGGCUAAUUCCGUGCCAGCAGCCGCGGUAAUACGGAAGGGGCUAGCGUUGUUCGGAAUUACUGGGCGUAAAGCGCGCGUAGGCGGCUUUUCAAGUUAGGUGUGAAAGCCCUGGGCUCAACCUAGGAAUUGCACUUAAGACUGAAAGGCUAGGGUCCGAGAGAGGGUGGUGGAAUUCCCAGUGUAGAGGUGAAAUUCGUAGAUAUUGGGAGGAACACCGGUGGCGAAAGCGGCCACCUGGCUCGGUACCGACGCUCAAGUGCGAAAGCGUGGGGAGCAAACAGG